rnacentral:sRNA from 1 species
AGGUGUGGUGUCAUGCGCCUGUAAUCCCAGCUUCUUGAAAUACAGAGGCAGGAGGAUUGCUUGAGCCUAGGAGUUCUGGGCUAGCCUGGGAAACAGAGCAGAAACCUGUCUCUU